CCUGAUAUUCGGGAAGUGAUCCCAAUCAGUGCUCACUGAUCUGACGUAUGACUUCAGUAGUGAGCAGCAAGGUCCAGUGUUGAGGAGGAAACCAGUGGCACGCCGGUGAGAAGAAAUGCAUAUAACUGGAGAUGGGGAGCUGGCAUAAGCCGGUUCAGCACAAGCCAGGAGGAAGCAGUGAGGUGCUGACAUCUGCCUGGCUGUCUCCUGAGACCCUCUCCCUGCUUCCUUGCUCCUGGAGCUACAGUCCCCACUCACCACCUCAGCAGUGCUUUGUCCAGCUCUUGGCCUCCCAAGCCCCAUCUCCAGAAAUGUUCCUCUAAAACAAAACUACUGUGACCUUACCCCUCAAAAAGUUUUACCUUUAUCAAUA